UACGUAGGGUGCGAGCGUUGUCCGGAAUUAUUGGGCGUAAAGAGCUCGUAGGCGGUUUGUUGCGUCGGCCGUGAAAACCUGCAGCUUAACUGUGGGCCUGCGGCCGAUACGGGCAGACUUGAGUUCGGUAGGGGAGACUGGAAUUCCUGGUGUAGCGGUGAAAUGCGCAGAUAUCAGGAGGAACACCGGUGGCGAAGGCGGGUCUCUGGGCCGAUACUGACACUGAGGAGCGAAAGCGUGGGGAGCGAACAGG
rnacentral:rRNA from 1 species